rnacentral:rRNA from 1 species
AUUGAACGCUGGCGGCAGGCCUAACACAUGCAAGUCGAGCGGUAGCACAGAGAGCUUGCUCUCGGGUGACGAGCGGCGGACGGGUGAGUAAUGUCUGGGAAACUGCCUGAUGGAGGGGGAUAACUACUGGAAACGGUAGCUAAUACCGCAUAAUGUCGCAAGACCAAAGUGGGGGACCUUCGGGCCUCAUGCCAUCAGAUGUGCCCAGAUGGGAUUAGCUAGUAGGUGGGGUAACGGCUCACCUAGGCGACGAUCCCUAGCUGGUCUGAGAGGAUGACCAGCCACACUGGAACUGAGACACGGUCCAGACUCCUACGGGAGGCAGCAGUGGGGAAUAUUGCACAAUGGGCGCAAGCCUGAUGCAGCCAUGCCGCGUGUGUGAAGAAGGCCUUCGGGUUGUAAAGCACUUUCAGCGGGGAGGAAGGCGGUGAGGUUAAUAACCUCAUCGAUUGACGUUACCCGCAGAAGAAGCACCGGCUAACUCCGUGCCAGCAGCCGCGGUAAUACGGAGGGUGCAAGCGUUAAUCGGAAUUACUGGGCGUAAAGCGCACGCAGGCGGUCUGUCAGUCGGAUGUGAAAUCCCCGGGCUCAACCUGGGAACUGCAUUCGAAACUGGCAGGCUAGAGUCUUGUAGAGGGGGGUAGAAUUCCAGGUGUAGCGGUGAAAUGCGUAGAGAUCUGGAGGAAUACCGGUGGCGAAGGCGGCCCCCUGGACAAAGACUGACGCUCAGGUGCGAAAGCGUGGGGAGCAAACAGGAUUAGAUACCCUGGUAGUCCACGCCGUAAACGAUGUCGAUUUGGAGGUUGUGCCCUUGAGGCGUGGCUUCCGGAGCUAACGCGUUAAAUCGACCGCCUGGGGAGUACGGCCGCAAGGUUAAAACUCAAAUGAAUUGACGGGGGCCCGCACAAGCGGUGGAGCAUGUGGUUUAAUUCGAUGCAACGCGAAGAACCUUACCUGGUCUUGACAUCCACAGAACUUUCCAGAGAUGGAUUGGUGCCUUCGGGAACUGUGAGACAGGUGCUGCAUGGCUGUCGUCAGCUCGUGUUGUGAAAUGUUGGGUUAAGUCCCGCAACGAGCGCAACCCUUAUCCUUUGUUGCCAGCGGUUAGGCCGGGAACUCAAAGGAGACUGCCAGUGAUAAACUGGAGGAAGGUGGGGAUGACGUCAAGUCAUCAUGGCCCUUACGACCAGGGCUACACACGUGCUACAAUGGCAUAUACAAAGAGAAGCGACCUCGCGAGAGCAAGCGGACCUCAUAAAGUAUGUCGUAGUCCGGAUUGGAGUCUGCAACUCGACUCCAUGAAGUCGGAAUCGCUAGUAAUCGUAGAUCAGAAUGCUACGGUGAAUACGUUCCCGGGCCU